UGGUUUAUAAGAUUGAAAAAUUGCUUUUUAAUUCCCACCUAAUGUUUUCCAGUAAAUUUUAGUGUGGCAUUGUCUGCGUUGGAUAGGUCAAUGAAUGGUGCUUUUAUAAAAAUGUUUGAGAAGAAGAACUCAGUCCCUGGAAAUUGUUCAAAUAAUCUUGUUAGAAUGAAGCCUUGACUGAAGGCAGUAAUUUCAUGGAUUAAACCCAGAAGGGGCUGUCUAGGCUGAUCUCCUUCCUAUCGCAGGCUACGGAGCUUUUAUCCAGAGACUGUCUAGGCAAAUACUGGCUAGCUACAAGACAUAGGGGAUUUUGCAUGGCCAGUACAUUGAACAACACCAUGAAACUAGAAACUGUGGAACUUUUUGAUGACGGGGUAAGUGGGAGCAGGAAGAAAGAGUAUUUUUACAGGCAAGGUAGUAGACAGCAUAAGGUGGAGUUGUGGCAUCUUACUAUGUUCAGCUUUUCCCUAAAAAGUACCAAUUAAAAGUAAGAGAAAGAGUUUUUUCCAAUCCAUCCUUUUAUCUUGCAUGCUACAUGUAGUCCAGAACAGAGCGACAUGAUGGGCAGUCCACGUAUGGGAAGGAACAUGUUGAUCUCUACUUCUGCAAGUCUGCAAAGCAGAAAUUAUGAGGAAAAACCCAGCACUGUGAAACCUGCAAAGAAAGAGGGAUGGGGGCGUACAGCGAGAAACUACAUGCUUUGACAGAAGUCAGAGGACUGGAAUACUUUGUCUGAAAACUAAAACUUCUUGAUUUGAAAAAGGUUACUGUAGUCUUCCUCCAACAUUAUAAUCUGGGUGCCUGCUGGUCCUAUUCUGCAAGGCUGAGGCUGCCUACCACCUUCGACACUGUGCCAUGAUCUUUCCUCUUUGAAGGGAGUGCUAGAAGUAGGGAAACCCUCAAAGUGAUCUGUUAUUAGAGUUGUCAUUUAAAUGGUAAGUCUUGUUGAUAAAGGAGAUCUGCCACGUAAAGCAGGUAAGCCGCACAUUUAAUGAGAUGCUACACUAGCAUUUCUUAAUAACACUUUUUGUUUUCAAUCAAAAUAUUUUGGUUUGUAAGUUUGGCUUUUUGGUAAGAAAAGUGUAUUUGCAGAAGCACAUACUUAGACAUGCCAAAAAAAAAAAAAAAAUCCAACCAAAAAGUGUUUAGCUGAAAGCCUCGUUUCCCAUCAAAAAUAGAUGCAGUGGAAAAUUUUCAAGCAGCCCUAUAUUUAACCUCCUUGGAUCAAAAUUCAGUUGUUGGACUGAGGGAGGCUCACAGAGGGUUUUUUGCUGCUUUUGUUAGGGUGUCUGUUUUUUCACUCAUGACAUCUGCCUGCUUUUCCAGCUAUAUUCAACCUUGUCAAUUCUUGCUAUUGCAGCAUUUUACUGUGCUCAGAAUGCUAGUUCCCACUGGACUCAACUUGCUGGGAUAUGUGCAAACUGAAAGUUUCUUUCAAGGGCUGCUUUUGGAAGCAGGAUACUGAGCUAAACGGACCUUUGAUCUGAAUUGGCAUAGCCAUCCUUGGGUAAGGAGAAGUACACUGAUAAAUGAGUAAGUCUGGGCUUUGGCAAUCUGGAAUUCAGCAAUGUUUAUCAGAAAUGAAACUCCUUCCUCCAAAAAAAGUGUAAGCCAAUCUCAAAAGAUAAGAGCUUGGGGACAGAGAAUUUAAUCUGAAUAGGUUGUGAUUCUGAAGUAUCAAGCUCUCUGUUGGUUUUUUUAAUUGUUUUUGCAGCUUCCAUUUCGCUUUCACAUCUUGUAGCAGUAAGUAUUUGCUACAACUGUGUCUUAAAUACAACUGUGAGCCUUUUUGGGUGUUCUUCUAAAGUUGGUGAAUAGAACAUUAGUAUAAGACUCCUGCAGAGCUCACUGGACUUUGUAUUAAGACAAGAAGAGAAAACAAAAUGAAUAUUGAAAUUCAGGGAGGAAAGUUGUUAAUAUGACCUACAUUAGUUUUAGUAUGUGUUGUGUUCUGUCAUUAGUUCAGUGUUAGAAUGCAGUUUGUAGCCAGAAUCUAUCAGCAACUGGCAACAUGUGGUAUUUCUUAAGCAAAAGUUGAUAGUUAUUCUUUAUUACUUGUUUUGCAUCUUAGCACUCUUACAGAAAUACCUUUCCAGAUAUUUUAAACUUUGUUUUCAUGGCACUUUAAUUUAGAUCGCUUCAUGACUGCUAAGCAAUACUAUGCAUUUUUUAGCCUUCACAUGCAUUAAUGAUCAAAUCUGUAAAUGAGCAUAUGCUUAGUUUUGUAAGACAGCAGCUAAUUUUUUUCUAUAUUUUUAAUAAGCUCUUUAGAAGUUUUACGAUUACCUGAAAGUAGAUAUAUCUAGUUAUACUCCUGUGUACUUAAGUUUAUUUAGUAGUUACACUGACCAAAAUAGAUGGGGUGUCUUUUAUUUCUUUUCCUGACAGGGUAUACAUUUUUCCUUCAAAUUUGUGUCAGCAGAAUUUGAUUAUAGUACAUUGUCAGUAGAUGACCAUAAUUUCGCUCUUCCCUGUUAUUAUUUUAAAGAAAUAUUUGCAAGAAAAGAUAGUAGCCAGACAACAUUGGAAAGGAAGAAAUAGUUUCAGUAUUGUUGAGAAAGAGAUUCAUUAUUCUAAUACCAAAAUUGUGGUGGGAAAGUGGAUGGAGAAAGGAAAGCACAAUAUUGGAGUAUAAGAGUGAGGUCCUAUGGUACCACCUUCCAGCUGUUCAUGUGUGGAAUCCAAAUACUUUUUGAAGCAUAGUGCUACACAGUCAAUUAGCUUUACUUCAAGUAAUCAUUGUAUAGGGAAGAAAUUUUAGUACAUUAGAAUUCAUGAGUUGGAAAAAGUAGCAAAAAAAAUUACGUCCAUGUUUUCCUAAAAAUGCAGUGAAAAUAUGUAAAUUCUUUUAAAAUUAACUUAGAAAUCUCAUGAAGUGAAAGAAGAGAUUGUAAUCCUCUCCCUAAAGUGUGUCAAGAAUGGCGAGAACAGUGCAACCUCUCUCACAUCAUUUAUUUGCCUUAAUCUGAAUCUUAAUGAUAGUGUCAAGAAGUGAGAAGCAAGUAGAGUUGCCAAAUAUGUCCACUCUUUUGAAACUGGAAGAAUUGUGGGAAGUAAUUGGGUGUGAAAUAAACGUGUUCACAAGUAAUUGGACUGAGACUAUUAAAUUUCUUUCAUUUAAGUGGUAGGUAGUAACUACUUAAACUUCGAGGAAGAGAGCAGAUUACAUCCUGCAAAACUUUCUCAUGCAAAAUAGUAUAUCCUCAUGUCAGUGAUCCUGGUUACCUUUAAGUGUCUGCUUAGUUGAGAAAAGUUUUGUCAAAUCAGGUCUUUAAAUGGGAGAGGGGAUUAGGAAACAACAAACAAAAUCCAGCUUGCAGUGGGAUUUAACUUUUGGGGGUGUGGGGCAGAGAAUGGACAAUGAAUAUCAUCAUCUUUUCAAUGUUCAGUACUAUCAAAACUGUUUUUCUUACAGGUAACCCUUUAUUGGCAGAAAAUUUGUGAAAGAGUCAGUGAAGGAAAAUGCUGUGGUAAAACACAUAUAAAGAAUCUCAUGCCAAAACCUGGAGGGUUGAGGGAUAUAUCUUCUACAGGUUUAGGAAAUGAUAAGGGUAGAUUGAAAAAGUGUUACUGUGCUUAAAAAGCCUAAUUGUUGUUGUGUAUAUCAGUCUCGUGUCUGUUUUAUACAGCUGUUUGUGCUAUCUCACUGGUGGUUUUGAAACAGUAUUUUUCAAGGGUCACUAAUUUGGAUUGGAAUAUAAGAAAUAGUUAUUUUUAUGGGUAGUAAAGCCGAAUGUCAUAAUUUGCACUUUUAAAUAAGCUGCUUCAUUCUGUAUGUAAAACAAAAUAACUUCAACAUGCUUGGGUUUGUAAUUAAAAAAUGUAGAGUUGAUGAGAAAUAUCUUCCCUAGUAUGAUGCAUGGAGAUUAGGUUAGACUGUGUUACAGAAUAAUGUAAUAAUAAUGAUUUCCUUAAGAGAGUACAAAAGCAGCAUCUAAGUUUCAGUUGAUGUUUACUGACACACAGCAUCAGUUGGGAGCCCUAUCAAACUUCCUAUUCUUUUCUGCUUACCACCUCCUGCUUUUAUUUACAGUCAGCAUAUCUGUUAAUUAGCCUCAGGUAGAGCCAGUUCUUCUAAGAAGAUCUCUUGUCUUCCUGGUGAUGGCCCCAUGAGGUGACCUUGUACACACAGUCUGUGAGUGAAUUAAUCUUUAACUCAUUAAUUUCAGUGCCUGAUUCUGACAUGUUUAACUGCUGCCUCGGUUUCCUACUCAGCAAUUAGUAUUUGGAGAAUUGUGGGCCUUGACUCCCAUUGACUUCAAUGUCAUGAACACAUCCCAGUGAGCUCUCAGCAUCUCGUGGUUACCUCACUGGAAGUCAUGUUUUCUUGUAGUUUUUUGGUUUGCUAUGAUUAGACCAGAAUGCAGAUAGCUCGUUGGUGACUUCCAGGUAAAUGCUCUGUAUCACAGGUUAUUUACCUAGUUUUCAUUGCACUUUUGCAGAAUAAAAUAACUCCUCCACUUCCUCAGCUAUCUCUGUCACACAAUAUCUGAAUGCAACAUUGCGCAAAAAAUCUGAUGUAACGGUGCAACGCCUGGAUCUCACAAGGGGGUACUCUGUAGGGAACCGUACUAUUUUAUAGAGUGUCACCAACCUCAGUUAGACCUAGUGAUGAUACGAAGCUGUUUAUAACCACAGCCUGAAUGCUAGAGGUGGUUGUAGUGCACUUCUCUCACAGCAUGGCUUGUUUAUUAGAAAAGAAAAAAGUUGCAGUUAUAUUUGCAGGAAAAAUUCAGGAGCAUGAUUCAGAGAUCUCCUGCCCAAAUCUACAAGGUAUGCUGGAAGUGCUCUGAGAGGUGUGAGCUGAUCUGUGCCUCUCACUGGGGUGUUAGAAAUCUUGUCCUUUCAGUGUUAAUGGUUGUGUUUGUUUCAUCUGAAACCUAAGAAAAGAAAGACUGGGCCACUUACCUGCCCAGUCAACUGUAGGUAAUGUCUUAAAGUGAUGUCCAAAUUCCUCACUUUUGCCAGAAUGCCAUUUAUUCCUUCUCCAUCUUCCAGUUGAGGAGUAGCUAAACUCUAAAGACCUAAGCAUAAGUUACAGGUGCCCUUGAAAUCCUGCUCGGAGCAAGUGCAAGUAUGGAAAGGCAUGAAGUACACACUGUGGUAGUGUGAGCAUUUUCACAAUUUGAUGAGAGCUUUACUGAUAAAAAUUUACUGCUUCAGUUUAAAAAAAAGCAAUAACAACAACGACAACAACAACAAUAAUAAUAAUAAUAAUGCACACACCCCCCUCAACCAACCAACAGUAUAAUCCCUGGAAUACAUCCAACUUUUAUACUGGAAAAAUACCUCAAAGUAGUAUGACUUUCUCUCUUCAGUGUAGAAGUAUUUGAGCUGAUCUAAAACACUUGAUGCUGGCACAGUUGCAUCCCAAUGUCUAAUUUUUGUGGAUAGGCAGACCUACAUGAAGUAACUUGGUUUUAAAGGAAUUAGAAACCCUAAUUCCUUUAAAUCAAAUUCCUAAGACAUCCAGGUGUCCAGGAUGCUGUGAAAAGAGACAUAAAAAUCAAAAAAGAGGUGGUGAAUAUUUCCUACUGAUGGCUCAUGGCUUUGGAAGGUUAGUGGUGAUGCAGUGUUGUGACAAAAAAUCAGUGAAAAAGUAUCAGUGAAAGUUUCCACCAUCUUUAAUUGUAAGAAGCCAAUGCUGACUGAUCUGUUAAAGUUUCAUGGGGAAAGUCAACACUGAGGGAAAAAAAGGUGGGUGAUAUUUCUUCAAAACAUGUUAACUGCUUCUAUGUAUUUUAUGGUUGAACAACAAAAAAGAUAAGAGAUGCUGGAAAUGGUUUCUAGAAUUCAGUGGCCCUUCAUCAGUAUUUUAUAGGUACUGUUUAAGCCAUCUUUGUUAAGGAGAAGCUCUUUUACUAUUAGUAUGCUGUCAUCUUUCAAAUCUCAUCAAGGCAGCACCAGGAUUUUUUUUGCACAGAUUUCCUUUGACACACAGCCUCAGUAAGUAUGGAAAUUACAACUUAAAUCUCAUUUUUUUUGCUUGCAAAGCAGUGCAGUGCCCAAAUUCAAUGAAUUUCAACUUUUAUUUUUUCUUAAUGUUGAAAGACAGAUAUGCAAAUUUUACUAACAAUAUGCAUGGUUAAAUUUAGCUGUAAAUUCCAGUAAGGGAUUUCUGCUUUGUUUAUUGUCCAAGUCAAUAUAUCUGUGGAGAAAACCUCCCACUGUGCAGGAAUACAUAGUCAGCUACUUGGAAAAGUGGAAAGUUUAAUUAUGAGAGUUUAUUCUGGAAAAAGGUAGAGUAAAACAAGCACUGGUUUUUUUGUUUGGUUUUUUUUAUCAUGACUUCAGCUAACAGAAAUACAACAUAUAUGGUUUGUUUUGACACUAACUGUUAUCAGACAAACCACUUGAUUUUUCUUUAACCUGGUCAUCUGUGUAACUGAGGGGGUCUGAAAGGAAGUAGAGGUCAUGAAUAAAUGAUGUAUUUCUUAAACUUGCAAGGUAGAUCGUGACAUAAAUGAAAUAAAAUAGAAGUGUGAAGAAAAAAAAAGUGUAAAUAUGUACUGCUGAGAAUAUCUUCAUUAAAAUAUAGUUACCCUAUGAAGAUAUUAGUAUCAGGUUGCCUGAAAGAUGCAAAUUUACUUUGUUGAUGUCUCAUAACUUAUUUUGAUUUUUGUGCGUGGUAACAGUGAAGUAUCUUUACACAAGGUUUCUGAGUGGAAGGGUAAAUUAUUGCUGGGGAAUAUGUGUUAUAAACGAUAUACAAACAUGUUUAUAACAGAAAGCUCUCCAAGAUUUUAAUUACAGGAGUGGUUCCCAUUUCUUCAGUUUUUAUAAGUAAUUUACAUGGAAUACAUUUUAUCUAGCUAUCUAUUUAAACAAAACACUGCAAUGCAAAGAAGGCAUUUCUCCUGCCUGCCUAGCGUAUAUGUAAUACUGUAAAAAUCUGUAUUCCUCCUUGUGGUUCAAUGCCUAUUUCUCCUUUCUAAGCCUGUUCAACUGUAACAUGAAGAAUGUUUUUAUGAUAUUUCUACAACGGAUGAUAGUAAUUAGAUUUACUCUAAGCAAUAAAAUUUUUAGAAAGCGUUAUGGCUAAUAUUUGGGUUGCAUGACUUUCGUCAGAUGUGUAGGCAUAUUCCUUUUUUCUUUGCAUCUGUGUAGGACCGAUCCACAACCUGAGCUUGUAGGUUCUACAGUAAUACAAAUAGUACAUGAUAAUUGUGUGUGAAGAAAGGCUGGCAGCUUUACAGAGGAAAUUUCUGAACCUGUAGGUAGGUUCAGGAUAGCAAUUGCCUGUAACUUCCCUUCCCCCAUACUCUGCAUUUCUACAAUACAGCUGCUCUUCUAAUGCUUUUACUGAGUCUCAUUAAAUGGUCCUAUGUGUAGGACAUUAAAUGUAUUUAUGGUAGAGUGGGAGUUUUGUUCUGAGUCACUGGUGCAUCAAGAGUUUCUUCAUAAUAUUCUUCUGGUUGCCUAAUACAGGGAGACAGGCACCAGAGAGGCAUGUACACUGAUGCCUUAUGGUAGCGAUCCUUGAGCCCGAAUCCUAAGAGAUGUGGGGGUGGCUAAUUUCCUGGAGAACUGAGUGGGAGUUUAAGUUCCUAAGUAGGAUUUAGGAGCCUAAAUACCUUGGAAUUCUCCAUGAAUAAAGCUUAGUUGCAAUAUAGCCCCUUAGUUCUCCACACAUCCCUGCAUUCUUCCAUACAUGUUCCUCAUUGGCUAUUUACUGUUAAUUGGCAAUUUGGAUGCUUAAUUAUGCUUCUGUUUUGGGAUAUGUUUCUUCCUAGUCUUAUCCUGUAUUUCUUUGGACUGUCUGUUUCUUUUCAGCUCUUUCCACUCUUAUAUUUUGUGUACCUAAUAAAGGCACUUGCACACUUAAUUUCCAGUGACUAGCUACCCUCUCACAUUGGCAUGUAUGAAACAUAAGACCUUUGGUAUUAAUAGAGCUAGCUACCUUGUAAAGAUGCUAUAAAAGGGAUCAUUAAGUCUCAAAAUUGAUAGGGAUCUGACUAUUUUGUCCACUCAUUCUGUUUUUUGAUCAAUGUAUGCCCAAUAUGCAAGUUGUGUAUUAGCCAAAUUCUACGUCGUUUGACUGACAAAAAGGGUGGGCUAGGGGUGCUUGCCACAGGUAGUUAAAUAAUGCAAAACCUUGUCAGUCUAAUGCUUUUGUCACUGAAAUGACUAUGCUGGUUGCUCUUCUGAAACUAGUAAUAGUAAAUCAGGGCAUAAAUCAAUCUUUCCUCUGGCUGUGUAUGAUCCAACUUCUCUAUUCUCUAGUUCGCUACACAGGUUAUCUGGAACUGAAGUGCACAAUGAGAGCAUAACGCUUUCUUCCUGUGCUAGACUUUUAACUUCCACAGUACAAUUUUCCUUAAAGUGUAGCAGAGGUUGAAAGGAAUGAAAACAGAUGUAAACAAGGACUCUAGUGUUAAAGAAUGCUCUGUAAAAUCUACCAUCCUUCAAUCGCAGUGCAUCUUUUUUCAUGUGAUCAUGAGCCAAAUUUUCCUCAGGACCACAGUGGUGGUCAGCAAGAGGGAUCCCUUGCCCUGUGUCCUGGCAAAUAACCUACAGAUGUUGGCUUCUGCUGCAGCCCAAAUGAUGAGCUAGACAAGUGUCCGUAGCUGCUGUAGGGGGAUGAUGAGGGAAAGAGAAAGCUUCUAGGCCUAGGAGGAGUAGGGAAAGGGUGAAUGAGUAGAGGUGGGGGGGUCCCAAUUCUUUCAACACAGUUGGUAUUGUACCACACUCCUUUUUUAAAAGGUGAGUAAAGUUAUACCAGGGGAAUGAGAAUGGAAGAAGUGUAUUCCAGCCCCUGAGUGGGGUGACAGCAUUGUCUUAUCUGUGGGGCUUAGGGACUUUGACAGAGAAAGUCUAAGGGCAUGCAAUGCUGAGGGUACAUAGGCCAGCAAGCACACAGGAAAGAGGAUAUUGUCCUGUCAAGGACUGGUGUCCAGGGUGAUUGGAUUUUUGGACAGUAGUGCUAAAUGGAUGGAAGAAAGAGUGUUGGAAGGGCAGUGAAUAAGGUGUGGAUGGAAGGGGGCAUGUGCUCUGUGUUGCUGUUGCCUCAUUGCAAAAUUGUUCCCCUUCAGUGUUGUUUGCAAGAAUAAAGCUGAUUUAUGAGAGUAAAUUGGUUUCUGGACUAAUACCAGUGUUUUUCUCAGCUAGUGGUAUGUGAACAGUUUUCCUACAGUCCCAGUUUUGCCACAGUUCUGGCUAUGAGUACACUUAGUGGAUUAUAAAAAAUGCUAAAAUAGUUUUAAAAAAAAAAUUAGGAGUAGGAUACAGUUUGCAGUAGUGCUACAGACUGCUUUUUGCUUGUGAAACUUGUUUUCUUUAUAUUCAAUAAAGAAACUUUCAUUAAUUAAUUAAAUUAAUGUGAUUGACUGUUUCUUGUAGCUCAGAGAUUCAUGCUGCUUGGCUAAUCAAUGGCCAUGAGUGUUGCAUGUGUAAGUAGUUAGAAACACUUCGUUGUAUUCAUGCUGAUUUUUAUCAUAAGGCAUCAUCGCUUGUACUGAGGAACACCCCAGGUGGACCGUGGCCCUUGCACUCCACCUCAGUGAGGGGUGCUUUCAAAAGGCCUUAUCUACUGCCACAUCAGUGCAAGGCCUAAACGUAUUCCAUAAAUAAUCUCAUAGCAUCAGAAAGCAACUGAACUGGAGAUGAUGAGAAUACGGUAAACUAGGUUAGGAACACGUACAACGUUGGUGAUCCUUGAGGGACACUCUGCAACUCUGCCUGUGGCAGCAUGGCUUCUUCCAAUCUUCUCUUCAGCUGUGGGGUUGUUGCCUAAUGCCAUAUGCUAGGUCUAUGUAGUUAACUAUGAACCUUGUAUAUGAAAGCUAUCUAGCUGCUCUCAAACCAGUAUUGUUAACUUUCUACCUAAUGAUGCUGAUUGAUUAAAAUGAAAGAUGUUUGUACUUGGU